rnacentral:lncRNA from 10 species
CUUGAAGCCAAGACAGGAAGCAGGAAAGGGGCUUCCAGGUCACAGCACAAAGAGGCAAAGCAGAAGCAGCAGACAGGACGUCAAAGAACCAGUGCAUGGCUGCGCCGGGCCCCGGGGCUUCCCACACGGGUUACUGUCAUCCUUCCGAAUCACUGGACUUGAAGCCCAGCAUGUUGCUGAGUUUUGCUCCAGAGACAAUUGCCAUUUGUUAUUUAAGUGACAAAGGUAACGCAUGCCGGCGGGAAGCAAUGCACAAAAUGUGAAGCUCAUACAGGAAGCUUAUUGGAGCCUCACAUCUGGAAAGCACUACAGACCGCACCGCAGACCGCACGACAGACCGCACCGCAGACCGCUCUACAGACCGGCACAUGCGCAACCCUGCCCGGCUGCUCUCCCUCCCUGCCUGGCUGCUCUCCCUCCCUGCCCAGCUGCUUUCUCUCCCUGCUGUGACCAGGCCAUUUUGGUGCAUUAUCUGUGCUCAGCGCUUUCCUCCUCUAUUUGAUGACUUUUCCAGGCAGUGGGCCUGGGGGUGAAGUCCCCUUGACCUUUGGGCUCCACCCAGGCACCUGGAGCCCCUGGGCUCUUCCCCUGCAGGGAACUGUUAGCAUCCUGCACUUUGCCCUCCUCCCAUCCUGCCCACGGGAGAUGCAGCGUGAACUCCUAGUCCUCAAAAAGGCUUAAAA